rnacentral:rRNA from 1 species
GCGACCCUANGUCAGGCGGGG